rnacentral:rRNA from 1 species
CACGUAGGGUGCGAGCGUUGUCCGGAAUUAUUGGGCGUAAAGAGCGUGUAGGCGGCUUUACAGGUCCGUUGUGAAAACUCGAGGCUCAACCUCGAGACGCCGGUGGAAACCGUAAGGCUAGAGUCCGGAAGAGGAGAGUGGAAUUCCUGGUGUAGCGGUGAAAUGCGCAGAUAUCAGGAAGAACACCCGUGGCGAAGGCGGCUCUCUGGGACGGUACUGACGCUGAGACGCGAAAGCGUGGGGAGCGAACAGG